rnacentral:lncRNA from 1 species
CUGAAUGAAUGGUCAUAAUGUGGUACAUGAUGUUUGUGAACUAAUUAGAAGGAGAGAGUAAAUGGUUUAUAGGCGCCCAAACUGCAUAAUCAAGCUUCAAUGGUGGAAAUCUGUACCAUUUAUACUCCAUUUCUCGAUAAGAUGCUUGUCCUCGCAGAUUUUAUAAUAACAAACACAUCGGUAGGUACACUUUGACAACCAUGUUUUUUGCUCUCAGGUGGCAUCACACAACAACAACGGCAGUCCGCACAAGUAAUCUCCAAAUUAUCUGCACAUAGUACACAGACAACACUCAUCCAUCUCUUAAUAUAAGAAAUGAAUUGCAUUCUAUAAAGCAAGAUCUUCCAUAAAUAAUUCAUGAAUCCAGGGGAUUAUAUAGAUUCGUAAUUGGCAAGGAAAAACCAAAUAGAGCACAUCGGAGAAUCACAUUGCCUUUUGCUGCCAAUAAGCUUCCCCGUAGACAUCUAUGGCUACACGAGGAUAAUUUUGUCUAGUAUUUGGUAAUAUUCGCUCUUAAAAUCUGAUAAGUUGUGAACUAGAUUUGACAUCAAAUAUCCUACUACUAGAGUCCCGAUCACCUAACCAAGCUUGAUGAACAAAAUGCAACAGGAAGCUCAAUAAUCAAAAGACAAAUAACAGAGAAGAAGAAAGAGAAGAGAAAACAGUGAAACUAUUUUGCAGAGAAGGAGUUCCCACUAAACUACUUGCCCUAAACUCUAGGAAAACAAAUCUGCACUAACUACAACUAGGAAAUAUCAAGAACUAAUUAAAUAACAAAGUGACAACUAACAACUAGAAAAUAGCUACUGCAAGACUUAGUCAAACUAAAGAAAAUAUGCUGAUGUUGUACGACUUUAACACCUCCUCUCGACAUCACCUCUAUUCUUAGCAAGUCCUAGCUCCUGACGAAAACUUUCGAACUUAUUGGCACAUAAGCCUUUUGUGAACAAGUCUGCAAUUUGUUGUUCUGUUUUAAUAUCCUUCAAGUUGAUCUCUCCUUGUAACACUUUUUCUCUGAUGAAGUGGUAAUGUAUUUCCACAUGCUUAGUCCUUGCAUGAAAGACGGGAUUUUCAGCUAAACUGAUUGUCACAGAACAAGGAAACUGCAUAGCCAACUGGUUGCUUUAAAUCUUUCAUAAGCAACAUAAGCCAUGUACUUUCUUGAGCUGCAAUUGCUGCUGCCUGAUACUCAGCUUCUGUUGUUGACAGCGACACAGUUGGCUCCCUUUUGCUGCACCAAGAAACUGCUCCAGCUCAAAGCUUAAACACAAAUCCAGUAGUUGAAUGAUGAGUAUCAUGAUCUCCUGCAUAGUCAGAGUCAUAGUAACCAACCAGCUUGCAUUCUUCACUUCUUUUAUACAGAACACCAUAACCAAUAGUACUUUUCACAUAUCUUAGCAUUCGUCGAGCAACCUCCAUAUGGUGCUUCUUUGGAUUGUGCAUGUAGAGACUCAUCACACCAACUCCAAAAGAAAUAUCGGGUCGAGUCUGAGUUAAAUAAAUCAGACUACCUACCAAUUGCCGAUACUUUGUCACAUCUUCCAAAUCAUUUCCUUUGUGUGCACACAUUUUGACAUUUGGUUCAGUUGGAGUGGCGAUUGGCUUGCACUCCAACAUUUCAAAUUUCUUCAACAAGUCUAUGGAAUACUUUCGUUGAUGAAUAAAAAUUCCUCCUCGAGUACAAUCAACCUCCAAACCAAUAAAAUGAUUAAGUUGUCUAAGUUCUUUCAUAUGAAAUCGGAUAGAUAAAUUUUCCUUUGUUUGAACGAUUUCUUCUUAAUUAUCCCCAGUUACAAUCAAAUCAUCAACAUUUACUAGCACUAUAGCUAGCUUCCCUCCAUCGACUUUGACAAACAAACUUGAAUCUGCAGAUGUAAUUAAAUAACCACUUUGACUUAAAAAUUCAGCAAUUUUACCAUACCAGGCCCUUGGCGAUUGCUUUAAUCCAUAGAGCGCCUUCCGCAGCUUACAAACAUAUCAGGGUGCUCUUGACUUUGGAAACCCAUUGGUUGAGCCAUGUAAAUAUCCCGAUCCAGCUCCCCAUGUAAAAAUGCAUUUUUAACAUCCAUNNNNNNNNNNNNNNNNNNNNNNNNNNNNNNNNNNNNNNNNNNNNNNNNNNNNNNNNNNNNNNNNNNNNNNNNNNNNNNNNNNNNNNNNNNNNNNNNNNNNNNNNNNNNNNNNNNNNNNNNNNNNNNNNNNNNNNNNNNNNNNNNNNNNNNNNNNNNNNNNNNNNNNNNNNNNNNNNNNGCCACUGGACUGAAAGUUUCAUCAUAAUCCAAACCAUAUUCUUGAGUAAAUCCUCGAGCUACCAAACGAGCUUUAUGCCUCUCCACCAACCCAUCUGUGCGACACUUUAUUUUAUAAACCCAUCUACAUGAUAUAGGUUUCACAUUUUUUGGUUUCGGCAGUUAUAGUGUGGCGAUCUCCUCCUCCAUUACUCUAGUCCAUGAUAAGUUUUGAGAUGCUUCUUCAAAGCUUUCAGGUUCUUUUCCAGAUUCAUCCUCUAUUGUUGCUGCAUUGGCAUAUUUGGGGUUUUGUCUCCGAAUCUGUUCUGACCUUCUCGUCUCGGAUUGUGGAACAACUGGUACUUCUCCUUCAUUUGUUUCACCAACUGGUACUUCUCCUUCAUUUGUUUCACUGCCUUCACAUGUUAGCUGGUGAAAAAUUGAUUGCCCAAAAUUAUGAGUUGCACCUUGUUCAACAUUGGCGUCUUCACUUGAUCGAAUAUAAGAAAUUUGCAAGUCCGGUAAUAUCUCCUUUUCCGCAGACCACCAUGAAGAGGUUUCAUCAUAUACAACAUGUCGUGAUGUAUAACACCUUCUAGUUGUAGGGUCACUACAUUUCCACCCUUUUCUUUGAUUAUCAUAGCCUAUAAAAUGCAUUUAACAACUUUCUUGUCCAAUUUGUUACAUAACUGAUCAGGUAUAAAAACAUAGCAUACACUCGCAAAUAACUGACAUUAGCUUUCAUAUUCAACAACUUCUCAAAAGAUGAAAGAAAAUCUAACCUUUGUUGAGGAAGUAUGUUGAUGACAUAUGAUGCAGUCCUCAUUGCUUCUGUCCAAAAUCUUCUUGGGACAUUCUUGGCAUGUAACAUAGUGCGACAUAUUUCUGCUAAAUACCUAUUCUUCCUCUCUGCAAUGCCAUUUUGUUGUGGCGUGUAGGCACAAGUAUAUUGAUGAUGAAUUCUGCAUUCCCUUAGGUAUUGAGAGAACUCAACUGAGUUGUAUUCCCCUCUGUUAUUUGUUCUUAAACAAUAGAUUUUCUUGUUGACUUCUCCAUCAACACUUUCCCUAAACUUUUUAAACUUAGAAAAAGAAUCUGAUUUUUCUUUCAUAAAGAAAACCCAAACAUACUGAGAUAAAUCAUCAAUAAAGGUCACCAUGUACUUCAUUCAACCAAUUAAUGAUUGCUUAACCGGUCCAAACACAUCCGAAUGAACUAAUUGUAGUGGUUCAUUGGCUUUAAAUUUGGAUUUUUCAAACGGCAACUGGUGAGCUUUACCAUACUGGCAUCCUGCACAAACAACGUUUGCUUUUACUUCAAGCUGGGGAAGACCCUUGAUCAUUGACUGCUUCAUCAUCACAGUUAACUUGGAAUAACUCACGUGAGCCAAUCUCAUGUGCCACAAAUCUGCAGUCUCAUUAUUUUUUGUCUUUUCUACGUAUGCAGACUCUGCAUACAUCACAUACACUGCAUCUAAUCUCCUCCCUUUCAUAAUUGGAUUUUCUAGGUUCUUGAGAUCCUGAUAUAUCCUCAUAUCAUCAGGACCAAAUAGAAUGUAGUUUCCAUAUGUUGUUAAUUGUGACACUGAAAGCAAGUUUUUCUUUAUACCGGGAACAUGAUAGACAUUUUGAAGUGACAUCUGGUUGGUCCCAUGUUGAAGAGAAAAUGCCGUCUUACCAAUAUGAGCUAUCAAUAAUCUAGAAUCAUUGGCUGUCACCACAACCCGACUACCCUUGUACACUGACGGGUUCUGCAACUUUUGCUUCUUAUCACCUGUCAUAUGAUUUGCACAACCCGAACCAACGAUCCAGUCAUUCUCAUGAUCAAUUGAUUUAGAUAUUGUCGUUGUAAAUGCUAAAUCCUCUUCUUCAAUAGCAAAAAAGGCUUCAGCAUCCCAAACAUCUUCACUAUUCUCUUUUGGAUUUGAGGUAGCAGCGUUACUUUCCACAGGUUGUUUCUUGAACCAGCAGUCCUUUUCCAUAUGACUCUUCUUCCCACAAUUGUAACACUUCCCUUCGAAUCUUUUAUCAUUCUUUUGAUUCUUCGGAACUCCCUUUGAGCAAAAAAUUUCAUCUCUCUGAAAACUUUUCUUCUUAGACCCACUAGCAGAUUGAUGUUUGAUGUUCCUACUUUUGUUGGUGUAGAAGGCUUCUUCCUCAUUCUUCACCGAGAGUCCUGCCAUUUGCUUUGCCAUGGCUUCUUGACCAGCUAGCAGAUUUUCAAAUUCAACAAGUGAUGGUUGUGUUGGCCAUCCCUGUACAACAGUAAUAAAUCCUCUGAAUUUAGGUCUCAAACCAUGAAUAAUAAUUCAGUUUACCCUGGUUUCUCCGAUUGGCGCUGUAGGAUCCAAAUCUGAAAUUUCACGGCAUAUCUUUUUGACUCUAUGGAAGUAUUGGGCAAUCGUUAAAUCACGUUGAUUAGACGAUAACAACUCGUUCUCCAAGAGUUGCAGCCUUGCAACAUUCUUCUUUGAGAAAAGUGCAGCAAGUAUGCCCCAUGCUUCUUUUGGUGAUUUAGCAUCUCGAACAUGCUCCAACACAUCCUCAUCGAUUGUUGUUUUCAGCGCAAACAUUGAUUUGCCUGCUUUUAUCUUCCACUUACGUAACGUUCCAUUUGCAUCCUCUGCCUCCGGUUGUGCAACUUCGCUUCCGUGGACAACUUCCUAGAGAUCUUGACCUUGCAUAUAGGACAUUAUACAUGUUUUCCAUGUAUUAUAAUUCUGAUUAUUGAGCUUUUUGAUUCCGCCAACUACGUGAAGGUCAUUCAUUGUGUUGGCUCUGAUACCAAAUGAUGAACAAAAUGCAACAGGAAGCUCAAUAAUCAAAAGACAAAUAACAGAGAAGAAGAGAGAGAUGAGAAACAGUGAAACUAUUUUGCAGAGAAGGAGUUGCAGGUUGUUUUAUUUAAUACGUUUAGUGACCUAAUAUAGGCUUACAGAAAUUUGUGGAAUCAUAAUCCACUAAACUACUUGCCCUAAACUCUAGGAAAACAAAUCUGCACUAACUACAACUAGAAAAAUAUCAGGAACUAAUUAAAUAACAAAGUGACAACUAACAGCUAGAAAAUAGCUACUGCAAAACUUAGUCAAACUAAAGAAAAUAUGUUGAUGUUGUACGACUUUAACCUUAAUUUACCCAACAAGUAUAAAUACAGUGGGAACUGAACAAUCAUGUAAUAUUCAACAUCAUUCUCAGGUGGAUACUACAUGUUAUUUUCAAUUCUUCUGCAAGUAUUUUUCCUUAAUCACUCUUCGUAUUAAUGAUGAUGUCGAUGCUAGCAUGGAAAUAAUUAAUGAUGCAGAGGUCGGAGUUGAUAGUAUUGACACAAUGAAGGAUGCAAACAUAAUUGAUGCAAGUAAGUUUGAAUUCAGCAAAGCAGUAGUAAUCUUUAAUGGUGACCAAGAGCAUCAUAAGGAGAAUAUUUGUAAUGUGCAAGCUAUCAUUAGCAUCCUUAACCAAGUAGAUGCUAUUCAAAUGGUAUCCCCUCAUAAGGUUUUGCAUGAUAUUGUCACUCAUAAUUUUGAACACGUAGUACAGAGGAGGCUCAAGCAAUAGGGGUUCCAGAAAAUGAUUGUUCUGAAGAAAAUCUAGAUAAUAUGCCUAUUGAGGCAGAUGUGUCUCCAAGAUUGAUUAAAUCUGCCAAAACAGGGAAGAAGCAAGGAAAUGGAGAUCUACAUCACCCCAUAAGGAAGCAGCCGAGGAGAAAUAAAUCAGUUAAUAAUUUAUGAAAGCUCUAAUUUGGAACAUUCGGUCUGUGAAGUCCCAACAAGCUUUCCAUUGAGUGCAAAUGCUGCAUAAUUUUCAUAAAUUUUCUUUUAUUGGCUUGAUGGAACCAUUUCAACAUGUUAGAUAUAUCAAAAAAUAUAGAAGAAGAUUAAAGAUGCCACUAGUGAGAGAAAAUUGCAAUGGAAAGAUUUGGUGUUUCAUUAAUUCAUAGUUUGAUGUUACCGUGGUAAUGGAUACAGAACAACAAUUGACACCGUGUUUAACACAACAACAACAGUCUAAUAGCUUUCAUGUCACUUUAGUCUAUGCUAAAUAUAAUGUUGAGGAUAGACAAAUGCUAUGGGAGGAUAUAUAUAUCAGAUGACAACAACUAUUGAUAGCCCUUGGUUAAUUGGUGAAGACUUUAAUGUAGUCUUGAUUGCUGAUGAAAAGAUUGGUGGACUGCCUGUUCAAGAUAUUGAUUAUGAAGACUUUAAGACAUAUAAUCAGAGUUGUGAUUUAUCAGAGAUUCAAUUCAAAGGCAGUCCUUUCACCUGGUGGAAUGGAAGAGUUGGAAAUGAUUGUAUUUUGAAAGAUUAGAUAGGAUUCUCUCUAAUCAGCACACACAGCACUGAUUAAUUUUAUGGAAAUGGAGCAUCUUGCAAGAACAGGAUCAGAUCAUGCCCCUAUGUUAUUGGCCAUGGAAGAGGGGAUCAAUACAUAUAGGAAACCAUUCAGCUUUCUUAAGUUUCUGGACUGACCAUGAUCAAUUUAUUGAGGUAGUGAGGCACAAUUGGUGUAUAGAUGUGUCCCAAAAUUCAUUUUUCUUUUUAAAGAAAACAUUAAAAGGGUCAAAUCUGCUUUGACCAAAUGGAGCAAGGAAGUUUAUGGUGAUAUUUUUCAACAGCUACUAAUCAGGGAAGAUAUUGUCAAAAUCAAAGAAAAACUAUUUGAGGAAGCUCCUAAUGUUGAAAACAGAGAAGUAUUGCAUAGAGCCCGGGCUGAGUAUAAAAAGUACUUACAGUUUGAGGAGGUUUUUUGGCAACAGAAAGUUGGGUAUGAUUGGUUUGAAAAUGGAGAUAGUAAUACUAGAUUUUUUCACAACAUUGUUAAUGGUAGAAGGAAAAAACUACAACUAAAUAGAAUUCAAAAUAGACAAGGGGAGUGGUUGGUGGAAGAAAGUGACAAAGUUGAUGAAGUUGUUCAAUUCUAUGAGGAUCAGUUUCACCAAGAUAGAGAUGCUACAUCCUUUUCGUUAUUGAGACAUAUUACUACUGUUUUUACAGAAGAGGAAAAUAUUGGUUUGUGUAAAGAGCCUGAUAUGGAGGAAGUAAAGAGAGUUGUUUUCAAUUUGAAAGGAGAUAGUGCUGGAGGUCCUGAUGGCUUAAAUGGUAAUUUUUAUCAAUGUUGUUGGGAGAUUGUAGGACAAGAUAUUGUCAGAAUAGUUCAAAAUUCUUUGCUGGUAAUACUCUCCCUAAGUCUAUUACUCAUACUAACUUGGUCUUAUUGCCCAAAAAAGACCAUGUUAACACCUUUGCAGACUUGAGGCCAAUAAGUUUGAGUAAUUUUAUCAACAAAAUUCUAUCUAGAGUUUUUCAUGACAGAUUAGAAGGUAUGUACCUAAACUGAUCUCUGCAAAUCAAUCUGGCUUUGUGAAAGGUAGAAGCAUUAUUGAAAAUGUUCUCCUAACACAAGAGAUUGUCACAGACAUCAGGAAAAGGGGUAAGCCUUCUAAUGUUGUAAUUAAGCUUGAUAUGGAAAGGCUUAUGAUAGAGUAUCUUGGUUCUUUAUGAUCAAAGUGUUAAGGAAGAUGGGUUUUUCUGAAUUGGUGGUGGAUUUAAUAUGGAGGUUGCUUGCAAACAAUUGGUAUUCAGUUCUUAUAAAUAGGCAGUCACAUGGGUUCUUUCACUCUACUAGAGGGGUGAAACAACAUGAUCCACUAUCCCCUGUCCUAUUUAUUCUAUUUGCUGAAGUUUUAUCUAGGUCUUUAAACUCUUUAUUUGAGGAUGAUCUAUUUCGGAGGUAUGAGAUACAAAAAUGGAGUUCCAAUAUAAACCAUCUUGCUUAUGCGGAUGAUACUAUUAUUUUUGCAUCUACUAAUAGAUAUUCACUGGUAAAGAUCAUGUCAAUUUUAAAGAAGUAUGAAAUUCAGUCAGGAUAGAAAAUUGACAAGGAUAAAAGUGCCUUCUAUAUGCAUCAAAAUGCAUCAGCUGCUGACAUAUUGCUGGUUGAGGAGUGUACAGGUUUCAAUAGAGGGAAAUUUCCUCUCAAGUAUUUGGGUUGUCCUAUAUCACAUACCAGAAAGAGGAAAGAGCAUUACUCUGAUCUUAUUACAAGGGUCAAAUCUAAACUACAAGCCUAGAAAGGAAAUAUGUUAUCCUAUGGAGGUAAAGAAGCUCUAAUCAAUAGUGUUUUGCAAAGUGUUCCCAUUCAUGUCUUGUCUACUAUUGUGCCCCCUAUAUGUGUCCUCAAAGAACUCCAUAGAGUAUUUUGCUAAAUUCUUUUGGAGUAAUAAAGUAUCAGGAAAUAGCAAGCAUUGGGCUGCUUCGAAUGAAGUUUGCUUGCCAAACCAGGAGGGUGGUCUUGGUUUUAGGUCUUUAUUUGAGUUAUCUCAAGCUUUAUAUGCUAAACUCUGGUGGAGGUUCAGAACUCGAAACUCUUUAUGGUCCAAUUUCAUGUAGAAUAAAUAUUGUAAGAAGCAAAUCCCUAGUUUGGUACAAUGGAGGGGUGUAUCUCAAUUGUGGAAAAAUAUGUUGAUGAACAGGGAUAUCUUUGAACAACUUAUUUGGUGGGAACCUAGAGGUGGCACAUCUUCAAUAUGGUUUGAUAACUGGACAGGGUUAGGUCCUCUAUUUUCACAACCAACAGAAGUGCAAACCUGCCACAAUUUGACAGAUAUUAACACCUAUAUGAAUAAAGAUGGUUGGGAUUAUGAGAGAAUGCAAAUGCAGUUGCCUCAACAUGUAGUGGAUCAUGUCAAAUCUUCCAUGGAUCAGAUUAGAUAGUCAGAUUUAAGUGAUAAACCAUGGUGGACUAGGACAACUUCUGGCCAAUUUUCAAUCAAAAGUGCUUGGAAUACUAUAAGAAAGAGAGAGGAGGAAACUGAUUUUUAUAAGAAGAUAUGGGUACAAUGCAUCCGUUUAAAGAUAUCUUUCUUAGCUUGGAAGGUGUGGAAAAAAAUUCCAGUUGCUACUUUAAUGGGACAAUGGAAUCCUAACGUUUCUCAUUUAUGUGGUUUCUGCGAGGUUCCAUAUGAUGAAACUAUGGAUCACUUAUUUCUAAAAGGAGAAGCGGCAGAUUCUGUGUGGAGAUAUUUUGCUAGUGCAGCUGGUCUUUUGGGACCAUGGGUUCAGGUGAAACAAGUUUUGUUGAAAUGGUGGGAUGCUAAAGGUAACUUUAGACAAAAGAUGACAUUUAAUGCAAUUCCUAAUGUCUUCUUAUGGUUUCUUUGGAAAAGGAGAAAUACCAUUUUACAUUGUGGUUCUUACUCUACUAAUAGAGUUAUUUGGGAUAUUUCCAACACUAUAAAGAUUUCAUUAAGUUGAAAUUUAAAUUUCCCAAUAUUCCAAAUAACUGGCCUCAGAUGGUUGCUCUGCUAGAUAGUUUCAGGCCUAGUUUUACAUCUAGGGAGGUAAGGUGGAGUCCACCUCCUUUGGGAUGGUGGAAAUGUAACACAGAUGGGGCAUCAAGAGGUAAUUCUGGCCCUAGCACUAUUGCAUUUUGUGUUAGGGAUUCUUCUGGUGAUCUGGUGGGAGCAAAGGGGCUUAGGAUCCAAGACACAACAAACAUAACAGCUGAGGCUAUGGCUUUGAAGGAAGGACGUAAAUAUUGUUUGGAGAAUGGUUUUUCACUAGUAAUAAUGGAAUCUGAUUCUUUAUCAUUGAUUAAUAUGUUGAAUGGAGAUUGGAUUGUUCCUUGGAGUGUGACUUUGGAAGUCAAUUCUAUUAACAGAAUGAGGGCUUUGAUGACAACAAGAGUACAACACACCUUAAGGGAGGAAAAUACUCUUGCGGAUUAUUUCACUAACCUAUAUUUUAAUUUUGUAGGUACUUUUGAAUGUAAACAGUUUCAAGAUAUACCAGUUGCAGGUAGAAGAAUUAGCAAUACAGAUAAACAUGGCAUUCUUCAUCUUAGGAUAAGUUAAUCUUGUUAAGCCUGUUUUAGCUCACUCUAUACCUCUGAAGGUUCAGUUGUUGUCAAUAAAUUCAUAUAGUAGUUGGUUAUGUACUCUUCACCUCGUCUGAAUUAGAUUAUAUUGGUUAUGUAUCAUGCACCUAGUGAGAGCUUUGAGGUGUCUCUUAUGAUAAAAAAAAACUAGGACAAGUGAAUUUGAUUUUUCUUUUCUGCUAGAUAGUUUAUUGACCAGUUCACCGAUGAGUUUAGCUGGACAUUCCAACUCCCAAUGGUGUUGAUCACAUUUGAGUCUGGUGUUGGUGCUAUACAUUUUUAGACUCAGAUUCAAUUUCGUACAUUUAGUAUCUUUUCUCAUAGAUCCAAAUCUAGAUGGUGGUAUUAAUCCUAUGUGGGGUUCAUGGAUUGAAGGGGAGGGAUUACUAAUAUUAGCUAGGUUGAUCGAGCCCCAUUUUUCUAUUUGUAGAAAGCAGGAAUUGAUAAUUACUAGAUAAGAAGUUCGUAAAGAAGUUUUUCUGAUUUACUUACCUCUAGGAAUCAACUUGGGAUAUGCGUUAGCUCAUUGGCUCGUGAAGGAGAGGCUAUUGCAUAGAAAAUCAGGGUUAGACAGAGCUGUAGUAGAAGAGGUUUAUUCUUGAGCUUACCAGUAUGAAUCUGCUUCCCUAAGCUUAUCUUCAACGAACUCUUGAACGACGACUCAAAGACGAUGAAGAGGCUUAGAUCGACCUGCUCCGACAAGCAUCAAGCCUCAGAUUUUUUUCUAGACUUGAUUUCUUCUUAGUUUCUUUAUUAAGCUUAGGUUGUUUUUGCUUUAGUGAUUUGCUGGACCGGAUCUCAGUUGGGCCUGUUCAUUUUGUUGGCUCCUUUUAUGUUAAUAAAAAAAUGGGAUCUUGCCCACCUUUAAACCAAAAAAAUAAGAAGUUAAUGCCUCUUGAAAUACAUCUCGAGUUUUGAUAAUGGUAAAAUUUAAAAUGAAUUUGAAAAAAAGAAAUAUUUAUUCACAAGAAAAGAAAGACCCUCGAUUUUUUUUUUGAAAAGGUAUUAGUUGUAUUGCACUAGCACUGUAUUUUCCUGUCUACACCAUGCCUUUAUUUAUGCCCCUUUCAAAUGGGAUAGAAGAUUGAUAAGGUGAGAGAGUUUUAAUGGCAACGCAGCAGGGAAAAAAAGACUUUCAGCUUCGUGAAAUAGAGCACAAUCAUUGAAAGGAAGGAAGAGGAAAGUCUACUCGAGCUUAAUUGAGAGAUCUCAUUGUAGCUCAAGAAAGAAUGAGAAUGAACG